rnacentral:rRNA from 1 species
GAUGAAGGCCUUCGGGUUGUAAAACUCUGUCUUCUGUGAAGAACAAGCCUAUGAACGGAAUGCUUAGGCCCUGACGGUAACAGAGGAGGAAGCCCCGGCUAACUACGUGCCAGCAGCCGCGGUAAGUACGUAGGGGGCAAGCGUUGUCCGGAAUCACUGGGCGUAAAGCGCGCGCAGGCGGCUGUCUACGUCCGGGGUGAAAGCCCAGAGCUCAACUCUGGGAUUGCCUUGGAUACGGGAUGGCUUGAGGAUCGGAGAGGCAAGGGGAAUUCCACGUGUAGCGGUGAAAUGCGUAGAGAUGUGGAGGAACACCUGUGGCGAAGGCGCCUUGCUGGCCGAUUUCUGACGCUGAGGCGCGAAAGCGUGGGGAGCAAACAGGAUUAGAUACCCUGGUAGUCCACGCCGUAAACGAUGAGUGCUAGGUGUUGGGGGGUACCACCCUCAGUGCCGAAGCUAACGCAUUAAGCACUCCGCCUGGGGAGUAUGGUCGCAAGACUG